CCCGUUCCAGAGGGGGACAACAGUUGGAAACGACUGCUAAUACCGCAUACGAUCUAACCUCGGCAUCGAGGAUGGAUGAAAGGUGGCCUCUAUUUAUAAGCUAUCACUGAAGGAGGGGAUUGCGUCUGAUUAGCUAGUUGGAGGGGUAACGGCCCACCAAGGCGAUGAUCAGUAGCCGGUCUGAGAGGAUGAACGGCCACAUUGGGACUGAGACACGGCCCAG
rnacentral:rRNA from 1 species